AUUGAACGCUGGCGGCAUGCCUUACACAUGCAAGUCGAACGGUAACAGGUCUUCGGAUGCUGACGAGUGGCGAACGGGUGAGUAAUACAUCGGAACGUGCCCGAUCGUGGGGGAUAACGAAUCGAAAGCUUUGCUAAUACCGCAUAAGAUCUACGGAUGAAAGCAGGGGACCGCAAGGCCUUGCGCGAACGGAGCGGCCGAUGGCAGAUUAGGUAGUUGGUGGGAUAAAAGCUUACCAAGCCGACGAUCUGUAGCUGGUCUGAGAGGACGACCAGCCACACUGGGACUGAGACACGGCCCAGACUCCUACGGGAGGCAGCAGUGGGGAAUUUUGGACAAUGGGCGAAAGCCUGAUCCAGCCAUGCCACGUGCAGGAUGAAGGCCUUCGGGUUGUAAACUGCUUUUGUACGGAACGAAAAGACUCUUUCUAAUAAAGAGGGUCCAUGACGGUACCGUAAGAAUAAGCACCGGCUAACUACGUGCCAGCCGCCGCUGUAA
rnacentral:rRNA from 1 species